UUUCUAUAUAACCAGCAGACUGAAUGGCGCGUGCUUUUAGCGUUUACACGUACACACACGUAUACACUCGUCCCCGCACGUCCUCUAUAUUCCUCUCCGUACUCCUCCACAAGUAUCCCAUACUGCUCUCCCAGGCAGCGGUCAGUCUUUCAGGACCAGACCAGCUUCGAUUUGUGCAAAACCAACAGACAUGAUUAUCAGACUGGGUCGCCUGACUCCUGGAUACUUUCGACUCCUGCAGAGGCAGGUAGCCGGCGAAGUUCAGACCCCACCUCAGGAUCGCUCUCUUAACCAGAUCGCCAUGAUGUUGGCCAUUAUGGGUCUAAGCCUGUCUUACUACAGUGCCAAACAGAUGACUGAGAAGGUGCAGCACAACCCGGUGCCCUGAACACAACUGUGACCUGUGAUCCAUUUGAAUCCUGGAGGAAGCCAAUUUAGAGAUGGAGGGUUGGAGAAGACCUUAUCCAUCACUCUUUUAUUCACUUCAUCAUGCUAAGCCUGUAUAUACCUGGUUCAGUUAGCAUGUAAUGAAUUAAGGGGUUUUAGCUAGAGAUAUUUACACAAAAUUCAUUGUACAUUCACCAAGCUCCCUUAAGGGUCCUGAGUCUAAGGCCAAAGCUUUUUUUGCUUAUAAUAUUUUCAUUGAUUCCUGUUUAAAGAGAAGGAGAUAGUCACUGAUGCUUUGGCAUAGAAAAAUUCCUUCUAAAGGGAAAACCCUCUGCCUUAUGUAUUAAGCAACUGUUGAAAGCAAGCUGCUUAAACACUAGAGGUAUUUUUAAGGCUGUUAAUAUAGAAACGAGUCAAAACAGGAAUCCUGUAAACUCAUUGGAAGAGCAGUAGCAGACUACAAUGUGUGGUGUUAAACCUAGAUAUCUUUUACUGUAUUGUUAAAAGUAGCCAUGUUUGUUUUAUGAGUAAAGACUUACUGUUUAAAGGAACAUCAAGUACAUGCGUGAAGAUUUUUAAAGAAUCCAAUAUGUGAUUGUGACCUUUAUAUGAAUGUAUGUUUUGUUUAUAUUUAAAACCUGAUUAAAUAAAGCUGUGAAGUCAUGGA